rnacentral:rRNA from 1 species
GAUGAACGCUGGCGGCGUGCCUAAUACAUGCAAGUCGAGCGAACCACUUCGGUGGUGAGCGGCGAACGGGUGAGUAACACGUAGGUCAUCUGCCCAUCAGACGGGGACAACGAUUGGAAACGAUCGCUAAUACCGGAUAGGACGAAAGUUUAAAGGUGCUUCUGGCACCGCUGAUGGAUGAGCCUGCGGCGCAUUAGCUAGUUGGUAGGGUAAAGGCCUACCAAGGCGACGAUGCGUAGCCGACCUGAGAGGGUGAACGGCCACACUGGGACUGAGACACGGCCCAGACUCCUACGGGAGGCAGCAGUAGGGAAUCUUCGGCAAUGGGCGAAAGCCUGACCGAGCAACGCUGCGUGAAUGAUGAAGGCCUUCGGGUUGUAAAAUUCUGUUAUAAGGGAAGAACGACUUUAGUAGGAAAUGGCUAGAGUGUGACGGUACCUUAUGAGAAAGCCACGGCUAACUACGUG